UCACGUACUUCCAACACAAAAAUCCGACGAAGUAAAUAACUAAAGAGAAGAGACGACAUUUCUCUUUUUCUCUGGGAUGCAUUCUCGUACUUUGGCAACUAUUCCACAAAGAUAAUGUCGACCGAUUAACCUUCUUGGGAUGGAGAUUAAGGAACACGAAACUGGGACGAACUGGUGUACACGCCGAAGAAAUAUUAAAGAAAAACACUCCCCACGUGUAAGUCUCAACAAUCUAGACGCCAUCUCGUUUUGAAAAAGAAGAAACUACGCCACAAAUUUGUAGAAAUUAUGUGACUUUCCAGUAAUGUGGAUUUGGUCAUGGAGUGCAAGCCAUAUACAUGUAUCUGGGAAACAAAACCAAAGAUAUGUAUUGUCUACCUAAUUGCUGGUAUUUUGCUGCAAAUUUUCAUGAAAUAGUAGACAUUACUGUAGCAGAACAUUGGGAACAAAAGCAAAUACCUCUACUUUUUUGGUUUGGUUCAUGCCUGAGGAAAUAGACUUAAUYGGCUAACGUGUUGCUAUGUACGUUACCACCCAAUUCAAACCUUCUGGGAAUAGAAGCGUUUGUCUCUACAGAUUCAACUGUGAAACCAAAAAAUAAGGAACAAUGAAACUUAGUCUCAUGUGGUUUGAAUUGGGUUGAAACAUUUAUAGCAACACGUUAGCCGAUUAGRUCUAUUCUUAGCUAGUUUACAAAAAAUUGGUUGAUGACUAAAAAUAUUUUGAAUCGUCAGAGCACAAUAAGUUUAUUUAGCCUUCAAUGAGCUCCCACACAUGUACCACACUUCAAUAAAACAAACCAUCAAACUGGCCAUGAAAAUUCCAACRUAUAAAGUGCUCAGAAAUUUCAAACCUCCCAUCCUAAAUUAAAUACGAGUGUUGCACAUGAAGUAAGUAAACUCAUUCCAAAUCUCAGUAACUGUUCAAAGAAAUGGGUACAUAAAUAUUUCAGUCAUUUAUAGCCCUUUUAAAUUCCAAAGCCUUCUAUCUUCAUUCAAUAAUCUCACAUAAUCCAACCAGCUAAUAGCUGCCAUUAUAGAACAAGGAGGGAGACCAAUCACUUUUUCAAAACAGCAAAGCAGCAAAUCGUCUAGCUUCAAGUCAUCCUAAUACCAUAAAUCAAAAGAUGCAUUUGAUUUGACCUUCUUAUUUGAGAAUCCACAAGUUCCUGACAGUAGUCUUCACCAUCCUUUAUCUUGAGGGGCCUAGUGAUCAUAUAAUAUGUAAGAAAAGUUAUAGAGUGCACGCACUAAAACCGUGAUUAUUAAAUAGUACUAAUUAGUUCAUACAGAAUCCUUUGUUUUCUAUUUUUUAAUUAUCACUUUUUAGUGCUAAAAAUUAGUAUUUGUUUCACAGAUUUAGUGUGAGCACUCUAGUUCAAUACGGUUAUAGCAAUAUGGUCAAUAUGGAGCAAUAAUUGGCAAGUGUGUAGUAAAUGACAUAUUUGAAGAGACUUUACAACAGGAAAGACAA